rnacentral:rRNA from 1 species
AUGUUACCAAGUCAUCCAUGCAUGCAAGCAAUGACGUGUAGAAUUAGGAUUGAGCAAACAAAGGAAUCUGCAUGCAAAUUUGAUCAGUUUUUGUUUGGUCCAGAGAUAAACAAGGCCACGUGCAUCCGUAAGAUAUUAGUCCUGUACGGAGUCCUGACCAAGUACGUUUUCCAUCAGGUGCGGCCACCCGAUCAAGGAGUAUACUCGUGGACGACUAUGAAGAUUGAAGAAUUGCUUUCUUUAAAAGGAACAGGAUGGGGUCCACCUACACAUAGCACAAGAAGCCGCACCAUCAAACAAGUCGUCGUUGCUUUUGUUUCCUUAGAUCGGAUUAGAUAA